GACGAACGCUGGCGGCGUGCCUAAUACAUGCAAGUAGGACGCAGUUGCGAACGGGUGAGUAACGCGUAGGUAACUACCUAUUAGAGGGCGAUAACUAUUGGAAACGAUAGCUAAUACCGCAUACUAGUAGAUGGACCUGCGUUUUAUUAGCUAGUAGGUAUGGUAAUGGCCUACCUAGGCAACGAUACAUAGCCGACCUGAGAGGGGGGUGGGCAACACGUGGACGGAGACACGUCCCAGACUCAUACUGGAGGCAGCAGUAGGGAAUCUUCGGCAAUGUGGGGAACCCUGACCGAGCAACGCCGCGUGAGUGAAGAAGUUUUUCGGAUCGUAAAGCGCUGUUGUUAAGGAAGCGGUACUUAACCAGAAAGGGACGGCUAACUACGUGCCAGCCGCCGCGGUAAUAC
rnacentral:rRNA from 1 species